GACAGCAGUAGCCGCGGUAAUACGGAGGGGGCUAGCGUUGUUCGGAAUUACUGGGCGUAAAGCGCACGUAGGCGGCUUUGUAAGUCAGAGGUGAAAGCCCGGGGCUCAACCCCGGAAUUGCCUUUGAGACUGCAUCGCUUGAAUCCAGGAGAGGUGAGUGGAAUUCCGAGUGUAGAGGUGAAAUUCGUAGAUAUUCGGAAGAACACCAGUGGCGAAGGCGGCUCACUGGACUGGUAUUGACGCUGAGGUGCGAAAGCGUGGGGAGCAAACAGGAUUAGAUACCCGUGUAGUCCCUGUCUCUUAUAC
rnacentral:rRNA from 1 species